rnacentral:rRNA from 1 species
CGCCUGCCGGCGACCGGCGCACGGGUGAGUAACACGUAUGGAACCUGCCCUGUACUGGGGGAUAAGCGGGGGAAACCCCGUCUAAUACCGCGUAACGCGGCCUAGGGACAUCCCAAGGCCGCCAAAGGGAGCAAUCCCGGCCACGGAUGGGCAUGCGGCGCAUUAGCUAGUCGGCGGGGUAACGGCCCACCGAGGCGACGAUGCGUAGGGGUUCUGAGAGGAAGGCCCCCCACACUGGUACUGAGACACGGACCAGACUCCUACGGGAGGCAGCAG